GAGUUUGAUCCUGGCUCAGAACGAACGCUGGCGGCAGGCCUAACACAUGCAAGUCGAGCGCACCCUUCGGGGCGAGCGGCGGACGGGUUAGUAACGCGUGGGAAUGUACCCUUUUCUACGGAAUAGCCAUUGGAAACGAUGAGUAAUACCGUAUACGCCCUUUGGGGGAAAGAUUUAUCGGAGAAGGAUCAGCCCGCGUUAGAUUAGAUAGUUGGUGGGGUGAUGGCCUACCAAGUCUACGAUCUAUAGCUGGUUUUAGAGGAUGAUCAGCAACACUGGGACUGAGACACGGCCCAGACUCCUACGGGAGGCAGCAGUGGGGAAUCUUAGACAAUGGGCGCAAGCCUGAUCUAGCCAUGCCGCGUGAGCGAAGAAGGCCUUAGGGUCGUAAAGCUCUUUCGCCAGGGAUGAUAAUGACAGUACCUGGUAAAGAAACCCCGGCUAACUCCGUGCCAGCAGCCGCGGUAAUACGGAGGGGGUUAGCGUUGUUCGGAAUUACUGGGCUUAAAGAGUUCGUAGGUGGUUGAAAAAGUUGGUGGUGAAAUCCCAGAGCUUAACUCUGGAACUGCCAUCAAACUUUUCAGCUAGAGUAUGAUAGAGGAAAGCAGAAUUUCUAGUGUAGAGGUGAAAUUCGUAGAUAUUAGAAAGAAUACCAAUUGCGAAGGCAGCUUUCUGGAUCAUUACUGACACUGAGGAACGAAAGCAUGGGUAGCGAAGAGGAUUAGAUACCCUCGUAGUCCAUGCCGUAAACGAUGUGUGUUAGACGUUGGAAAUUUAUUUUCAGUGUCGCAGCGAAAGCGAUAAACACACCGCCUGGGGAGUACGACCGCAAGGUUAAAACUCAAAUGAAUUGACGGGGACCCGCACAAGUAGUGGAGCAUGUGGUUUAAUUCGAAGAUACGCGCAGAACCUUACCAACACUUGACAUGUUCGUCGCGACUCUAAGAGAUUAGAGUUUUCGGUUCGGCCGGACGAAACACAGGUGCUGCAUGGCUGUCGUCAGCUCGUGUCGUGAGAUGUUGGGUUAAGUCCCGCAACGAGCGCAACCCUCACUUUUAGUUGCCAUCAUUAAGUUGGGCACUCUGAAAGAACUGCCAGUGAUAAGCUGGAGGAAGGUGGGGAUGACGUCAAGUCCUCAUGGCCCUUACGUGUUGGGCUACACACGUGCUACAAUGGUAUCUACAACAGGAAGCAAAACGGCAACGUUAAGCAAAUCCCGAAAAGAUACCUCAGUUCGGAUUGCACUCUGCAACUCGAGUGCAUGAAGCUGGAAUUACUAGUAAUCGUGGAUCAGCGUGCCACGGUGAAUGCGUUCCCGGGUCUUGUACACACCGCCCGUCACACCAUGGGAGUUGGUUCUACCUUAAGGCAAGGUUUUAAACCCUUGACCACGGUAUAGUCAGCGACUGGGGUGAAGUCGUAACAAGGUAACC
rnacentral:rRNA from 1 species